rnacentral:lncRNA from 1 species
CCAAUGUCUCAGUUCACUCCUGUUGCCUGCAAGAUGUAGAACUCAAGGUUCCUUCUCCAGCACUGUCUAUCUUCAUGCAGCCACGUCCCACCAUGAUGAUAAUGGGCUAAACCUCUAAACUAUUGGUGCCUAGCCCAAUUGUCAUCAGAGAAAAAUCAUCCAGCUAUUGGUGGAAAAAAAUAGAGACCACAGUCAAACAUGAGGCCGAGCUCAGAGAAUACUGCUGAAGAGAGGAAGAAUUGUAGGAGUCAGAGGGGUCAAGGACAUCACAAGAAACCCACAGAUCAACUCACCUGGGCUCAUAGGAGCUCACAGAGACUGAAUUGACCACUAGGGAGCCUGCAUGGGACUGACCUAGGCCCACUGCAUAUAUGUGACAGGUGUAUAGCUUGGUGUUCUUGUGGACUCCUAACAAUGGACGCAGGGGCUGUCCUCUGACUCUUGCUGGCUUUUGGAACCCUACUCAUACUGGGUCUCCUUGCCCAACCUUAAUACAUGGGGAGGUGCUUUGUCUUACUGCAACUUGAGCCAAGUUUUGUUGAUAUCCACAGGAGACCUUCCUUUUUCUGAAUAGAAAUAGAGGAGGGUGGAUGGGGGUAGUGGUGGUGGUGGUGGGGUGCAGGGAGGAGAGGAGGGAAGGGAAACUGGUCCAGAUGUUAAAAAAACAACGAUGGCACUUUCUUUUUCCAAACUAGGAACAUUGUUCUUGAAGGGCUAGGACACUCAGAGUUUGAAGUUUACAUUUCCCUGAGAACAUACUAGUUUUUUCUCACUGCAUAAAGCACCCCAAUACUCAGUGGCUUAAAACAGUGACCGAUUGACACUGACUCUUGUGAUUUCGUGUUGGCGAUCCAGGGGGCUCUCUGUUGCUCUUACCUGGGAACAAGUGUGUAGCUGCCUGCAGGUGCUGCUGGCGAUUGUAAGAUGGCCUCAGUAGCGUGUCUGGCUGCUCGUGAGGUGGCCUCGGUUCUUUUCCAGGUAGCUCAUAUUCUACAGUGUCUUGAUGGAUCUCAGAGUGGGAAGUGGGAAGCAGCAGGGACUGUGAAGCCUCUUAUGACUCAGUCUCUGGAUCUGCCAGCAUUGCUUCCACCACCUCUCAUUUAUCAAAGCAAAGUUUUUGUUUUAAUUUAAAAUUUUCUUCUAGGGGCUGGAGAGACAGCUCAGUGGUUGAGUGCUUACUGGGCCAAGCAUGGUACUGCAUGCUUUUAAUCCCAGCACUCAGGAGGUAAAGGCAGGUACAUUUCUGUGAGUUCAAGGCCAGCCUGGUCUACAUAGUGAGUUCCAAGCCAGCCUAGGCAACAUAGUGAGACCUUGUCUCAAAAAACAAAAACCAAGGCCAGGCGUUGGUGGCACAUGCCUUUAAUCCCAGUAGGUGGGUCUCUGUGAGUUCAAGGCCAGCCUGGUCUCCAGAGCGAGUGCCAGGAUAGGCUCCAAAGCUACACAGAGAAACCCUGUCUCGAAAAACCAAACCAACCAAACAAACAAAAAACAAAAAACAAAAACAAAAACAAUGCAAAAAAGAAUGCUUACUGCUCUUGCAGAAGGCCCAGGUUUAGUUCUCAACACCCACAAAGCGGGUCACUUCCACCUGUAACUCCAGUUCUCGAGGAUCUGAUGCCCUCUUCUGACCUCCAUAGGCACUGCCUGCACAAGGUAUACGUGCAUAAAUGCAGGCAAAAAUCAUUUAAAGUGAAUACAUACUAAAUAAAUGUAUUUAAAAUGAUUCUCUUAUUAUUAUUUGUGUGUGUGAAAAAGAAAGGUAGGUAAAGGUAGGGAGAGCACGUGGCUGUACUCAGGCUAUGGGACACAUGGAAGCUAGGGAACAAUUUUUGGUGAGGAGUUCACUUCUACCACAGUAAGUUCCAAGAAACGAACUCAGGAUCAUCAGGCCUGUUCAGCAAGUGCUUUCCCUGCAGAGUUGUCUUACUGGGCCCAAUUAUUUAUUUUUACAAGCCUGGAAGUCCAACUCAGAAUCAAAUGUAUGCAGAAAUAGUCUCACCGUGCCUCUCUCUGGCUCCGUCUCUCAGUAAGAAGAAAUGACACAUCCCAGACGGAUGUGGAGAAUGCUUAGUGGUCUUUCUCAUGCCAAUGAGGACAAGGGUUCCUUGCGAUACAGACACUGCUGCCCUUUGAAUUUUGGUGAUGAGUUCGACAGAUUAUUCUAGGUCAGAGUUCCCAGAGUUGUUGAAUGCUGGGCAGCUGGGCUGAUUCACGUAACUAAUUGCUUUUCUUUGGAAAUAUUCAGCCUCUACACAUACCACCACUGGAUCAAACAGCUAGAGAGCGCCAUCGAGAUCCAUCGAGGGCAUCGUAGAGUCUCCACUCAUCCUGGUGUUCGGAGAGGAAAGCACUGGUUCAAACAGUAGAUACAGAGUAUUAAAUCUUGGACACUAGUCCCCUCCGCCACACAGGCUGGGUGUUGGUGGUGUUGGUGGUGACAGCAGGUUCUCUUCUUCACCUUUAUCUGUGCCUGGGAGGGUAGCACUAGUCACGGGGUGGACAUUAGUUGUAAUGUCUGCUCCUGCCUCAGAGGUGAAUGGGCACGGAACACUGGACAGACAUAUAUGUUAUUUCUUUUUUCCUUUUUUAAAAAUUUAAAUUAGAAACAAGCUUGUUGUACAUGUCAAUCCAAGUUCCCUCUCCAUCCCCUCUUCUCCUGCCUCCCACCCCCCCCAUCCCAUCCCCUUUCUGCUCCUCAGGGAGGGUGAGGCCUUCCAUGGGGAUCAUCAAAGUCUGUCACAUCAUUUGGAGCAGGGCCUAGGCCCUUCCCCUGUGCCUAGGUUGAGAGAGUAUCCCUCUAUGUGGAAUGGGCUCCCAAAGCCCAUUAGUGUCGCGCCUAUCUCGACCAGCAAGAAGGACACGACCACGACUCUUCUUCAAGCAGUUUAUUCAGGAACCUUGUACAUCAGCCUUCGCUCUCUGCUUCUUCUAUAUCUCCCAGCCCCCUGGCAAGCCCUUAAAAGCAAGCUCAUUACCCAAUUAGCUCAUGCCACCUGGCGAUCCCGGAUAGGUCACAGCUGGAGGAGGCACACCAGAUCCACUAAGGGCUUCCAAAUAAGGCUUGUUUACAGCUAAGCUCGGCGCCAUCUUGGGGCUGUGGCUCCCCACACAUUAGUAUACUAGGGAUAAAUACUGAUCCACUACUAGAGGCCCAUAAAUUGCCCGGGCCUUCUAACUUACACCCAUGCUCAAGGGGUCUGGAACAGUCCUAUGCUGGUUUUCCAGCUAUCAGUCUGGGGUCCAUGAGCUCCCCCUUGUUCAGGUCAGCUGUUUCUGUGGGUUUCUCCAGCCUGGACUUGAUCCCUUUGCUCAUCACUCUUCCCUCUCUGCAACUGGAUUCCAGGAGUUCAGCUUAGUGUUUAGCUGUGGGUCUCUGCUUCUGCUUCCAUCAGCUACUGGAUGAAAGCUCUAGGAUAGCAUAUAAGCUGCCCGAGUGUUGCAGUAAUGCGGAUUAAAUGGGAGCAAGUAAUGGAUGAGUAUGAUCAAAUUUCUCCACCAAGUUUUGGUCUGACCCAAUGAAGCAUCCAAACAAGCCAUGAUUCUUCAAGAUAAACUUGGGGAAGUACAAAAAGCCAGAGGCUCAGAGUCACCACUUAUUUCCGAAUGAGAGAGGACUCCUGAGUACAGGGAGAGGUUGAUUCCAGACCCAGACUCAAACAUCUUAACCCUAACACUAACCCUAACCCUCAAACACUCUGUACUCCCCCACCCCCCAAUCUGGAACGGUCCAGACCUACCCAAGAUCACACAGUAGUUCACAAACUGACCAAUGGCCUCAGUGGCUGCCAGCUCACAAGAGCAAGGUGAGCCUUAACUGUUGAGGAUGCUGUAGGUUUACCAGGGACCAACCCCGAGCCUUAGUUAGCAGGAAUACCGCUGUGGCUCCCAUUGUGUAGACUCUGCAGUGCCCAUGUGCUCUGCCAUCAACAAAUGCACCAGAGGAGAAAGAGAGCCAUCAGAAGGGCAAGAGUCGAGACUCAAGCACAGAAGAGCAGCCUGAACGUGAGAGAAAACGCAGUUCGGUGAAAUGGAUUUAACCAAUACAGGAGCAUCCAAAGAAGAAAAUGAAGGUUGAAACAAACGACAGGAAGGUGCUGAAAAGCUUAAGAUUUGGAAAGAGGAAAACAAACAAACAAACAAAAGCAAGCUGAGAAAUGUCCUCAAGGAAAUAGGACGGUAAGAGCAGAGAAGAGAAAGGGGAACCAGGCAAAGGCAGAGCAGGGGAGGAUCUGUUUGGGUCAAAGCUGAACUCUGGGUUUGAGGCACUUUAGUUGCAUCUCCUGAGGUCAAAUUGAAAAAUAGUGAGGACCUGGUUCUUCAUGUCAUGCAAAUGACACUUUCUCUUCAAUGUCACUUUUCUCUGAGUGAACGCGCCUGGAAAUCAAGUUUCCCCCUUUUCUAAAAGCACUCUAGGCAUUCCUUGGUAAGCAUAGCUUUGUUCUUAGUCAUCGGUUUGCUGUGAUGGCAGAAUUAUUUUCCCUUGGGAGGUCCUUUAUUUAAAAUUGCUGGGCUGGCAGACCUAGUAGAGCCUGUUCCUUGGUUGGGGUUUGCUUGAGUUUCCAUUCACAUGUAUUUUGUUAUUGUUUUUAGACUUUUUAAUUGAUUCUUUGUGAAUUCCACAUCAUGUACCCUGAUCCCAUCCGUCUCCUUGUCCCUCCCUAUCUGCUCUCUGCUCUCGCAACCUCCCUCCCCCACAAAACACCACCACCAACAAAACACCCCUAACAUACAAAAAGAAAAAGAAAAAAGUCUCCACAUGGAAGCUGUAGUGUGGCCCAGUGAGUCACACAGUCCACCCUUUAGUCCACACGGCUUUAUAUACAAGUGUUCAUUGCAGCGAGUCCUUGGUCUGCUCUGAGGUCUCUGGCUUCUGCUAACCUUUGAUGCCGGGCCCUCACUGGACUCCUCUUGAUAUCCUGUUGUUGCCCUGGGCCAUGAAGAUCCUGCAGCUUUGGACUUGCAGGUCUGGGCCCCUUCACAUGCUCCUGCGGUUUAUAGAU